rnacentral:lncRNA from 1 species
CAAAAUUGUUAUAAGAACAUACUUUUUUGUCCUGUUUGUUUCCAAGCUGAAGCAACAGAAAAAGUCCCCUUUUUUAUGAAAUAAGGAGACGUGGUAUGAUUGGCAAUGUGACAGCAAUUUCCAAAGUUUUAUUAGGAAUGUAUGAAUGCUUAACAACUAUUUCAGAUUUGCCUCUUAAAUUUCAUCCUUAAAGUUACCCAUAC